GUAAAUACUUGCGUGUAAUCUAUGCUUUGUCAAAAACCUCUAUUCAAUUAAACAUCCUGACGGCUGGAUUUUCUCGUGGUCAACGUGUACAUUCGCAAUGGAUUAGCUGCCUGCAUCCGAAAGAAAACCAGCGCGUAGACAAAAAGAGGAGAAGAAGUAAUCUUUAACACGGCCUGAGGCACUCGUCUAUCACCGCCAAAUACAAAGGUCCACGACACAAAACCAGCACACUAUGCAGCUAACAAAGAAGACUAGGCGUGAAUAAAGGAUGGCAGUGAAUGGGCCGAACCUGAUGAAGGUAGAAUGGAAAAAAAGCAGUCGUGGUUCAAACAGAUGUGCGUGCAGAGGAUGUUCAGGACGAGAAAUGCAUUGAUCCAUCCAGCUGAGCGACCAGGACCAUGUGACGGGCCGAUCAGCCUCACACAUACGGUCACACGGCGCAACGUACAGUAAAGUCACACACACACACACACACACACACACACACACACACACACACACACACACAGCGUAUUACAAGUUCAAAGUAAGGCCUUUAAAACAUGAGGAGCCACAAAGUGAAUCAGCUAUUAGUUUCCCAGAGAAACCAUGAUUCAGGAGGUGCAGUGACGUGUUUUUCUGGGACAUGUGAGUGAGUUUGCCGCGGUACACGUAUGUACACAUAUCUGAAGCUCUCUCCCUCAUUCUAGCAACGAUGUGGCCUUUAGCUCCUCACUGAACUCCAGUUUCCAUCAGCACUGACUGUAUCCACGGGAAAGUUCUCUCUUCUACUGCGUGAUCUUCGCUGGCUGAUUGACUUUGCCCCGAGCUGCUGGUGGAGCCAACUUGGAUUACAUGAUGGAAAGUGAACAGCCACCAUUAUUUCUGCAGAUUGUUUUCAUCAAGUCCUACAAAAAAAGAGAAAAACAAACCUCCACACGUGUGUUUAUUUGCUGAAAACAUG
ensembl:lncRNA